UACGUAGGGGGCGAGCGUUGUCCGGAUUUAUUGGGCGUAAAGAGCUCGUAGGCGGUUCGAUAAGUCGGACGUGAAAUCUCCACGCUCAACGUGGAGGGGCCGUUCGAUACUGUCGUGACUCGAGUCCGGUAGGGGAGUGUGGAAUUCCCAGUGUAGCGGUGAAAUGCGUAGAUAUUGGGAGGAACACCAGUGGCGAAGGCGGCUCACUGGACCGGAACUGACGCUGAGGCGCGAAAGCGUGGGGAGCAAACGGG
rnacentral:rRNA from 1 species